UGGAAGCCUGCGAAAUUAUUUCCUCGUAGACGCAUGAGACGCUCCGUGAAGUUUUAAGUGUUUGGAAAUGCAUCUAGUGUUUGGUCUUUGGCCGACUGUACCCCCGCAAAGCAAAGGUGAUAUACGGGUGCACUUUGUUGCUGCAGAAAUUUUCUUCUCGUCGAGCUCUUUUCGAACAUCUGCUAUCACAUGAAGAUUUUGCAAGUGGUGUUCCUUGUACCAUAGAGGGACGUAAUGCUGCUUCCAAGAACUAUAGAACCAGUUCUUCCAUGAGUCAUCCUGACGAAACACCACCACAUUCAACACAAAAAGUAUUGUCUUGAAAGUUUUGUUCUGUGGCUUCUUGCAGCCAGCCGUGUGGACAGUGAAGAAGCAGAUAUUGCACGCUGAAAGCAUCACCUCAUCACAGAUGCAUCGUGCACUGUGAGUUGACACUCCCUCCUUGUGUGCUUCGACAAUCACUAUUCUUGGGACUCAACAUACAACAGGACACUACCUUGUGGUCUCCAGAGACGAGUACAACCUGCGCUAUGGGAAACCGGUACACAUCUUUGUGGAAACUGGCCCUGAGGUGAUGCUAAUUUUUCUUUUUCGCAUAACACCAUCAAGCUUUCUACCAGACCUCAGGCUAUACCAUCUUGAAUCUCAGAGACAAGUGUAUAUUGUUGUGUGCGACCCUCAGAGUUAAUGGACAGUCAUCCAUAUUCAGCUUAUGAAGUAAUAAACUCUGUUGUUGUCUCCCUCAGAAUAUCGCUGCUCAGCCAUAAUUAUGGAGGUAUAUAUUGUCUGUUUAACCAAAUUUUUGCAAAAUAUAUACGCUACUUCCGGUUUUGCUUAAUAACUUCGUUUUCUGACACAGAAAGUUCCAUAUGAGAGGUACAUAUCUUUCCCUGUGCGUGCUACAGUUGUUGCUAUAAAUGUGUGGUUUUCAGAGCUUGCUCAAUGCUGCUUCUUUUUCUCUUUCUUUCUUGUUUACUAGACGUUUCUGAAGAUCAGGAGUAGAGAUCACAAAACGAAAAACUUUGUGUCAGUAACAUGUCUUGAGGAGCUAAUCAGAGUUGCUGUGGGUCAUGGAAUUUGUCAGGAGGGCAACAUACAGGUGUAUUUAAUGGAUGAGUUAUCACAUCGCUCUAUGGUUGCUGGUGCUGAGAAAUGCCUUGAUGACAUUUUCGUUGUUAAAAAUGAACUAUGGAAACAAGAUCAGUCAACAUGUGUGAGUGCACCUUCACCAAUCCCACAAAUGCCUCUGCUCUCACGAAUUUAUUACCCUUGGGAGAGCCUCAGCAAGACAGUACUUGAUGCAUUGGAAGCAGACAAUGUUCUGCUUCCCUCUCAAUGACAGGAAGUGGCACACAUGGCAGCGUCAUGACCCUGCAUAUCCAUUGAAGGCACCUGGUUGGUAUAAUUGAGAACGAAGGGAGCCAGCAGGCAUAAAAAAAUCAAGAGGGCUACAUACAUAAAUGCGUGAGGCAAUGAGGGCCGCAGAUGAAUACAGCAAGAAGUGGGAACAUCUCGUGUGAUACAUAGCAGUCAAAUGUUCCGCCACCAAAGUCAUGCACAAGUUAUUUGUAGUCUUUUCAGUAAUUUCCAAAAUAAAGGGUUAUUAU